rnacentral:tRNA from 1 species
GCCUCGGUAGCUUAGUAGCUUAUAGCAGCGGUUUUGUAAACCGCAGGUCGUGGGUGCAACUCCCUCCCGAGGCU